rnacentral:misc_RNA from 1 species
CACCCCCUUUAAAUUUAACACCCUAAAUGAUGAAUAUGAAACACCUUUACAAAUUUAUUCCUUUACAAAAUAAUUUUACCGGCAAAUACCAUUUCACAAGCAACUAUUAUACACAUUUACAAAAUAAAUACAACUUUCCAUAUCUGUACCGAGUUGAAAUCAUCAUCUGGACAACAUUAUUUUUCUACAGUCCUAUCAUAUACAUACUACAGUUGUUAGAAAAUCCCAAUGCCCAAUCUGACCUAUGAAAACAAUUUAGAUAAAUCAGAACCCUUAGCUUGCAACACCAAUUUCACUUCAGAACUUGUUGUCGCCUUUCACACCAUUGCACUACUUCAUUCAUUACUUAAUAAGAACAUGCCGUUUAAAUGAAGAAACCACAUCUACUAUUUUGCUUCUCAGAUAUGAUGCUGGAUUGCAGGGGUUAACACCAAAUGUCUGCAACCACAAAUGAAACAUGCAUGCAUUUCAUCAAUUUUUAGUUAUAUGCUAACAAAAAAAGAGAGAAGAAACCUACAAAAAUCAAUGAAUAAAAAGUAAUUAGAUAAGUCAUCAUACAAAAUAUAUACAUUGUUGCAUUAGUAACUAGUCACUUCUUGAUAGUGCGAGUGCUCCCUAACCAUUUAAAGAUAGCCUAAAUUUUUCCCCAAUCUAAAGUUAUGCGCAACUUCUAUCAUACAUUAGAUUUACCCAAAAUUAUGUUCAAGUCCUAUAGAAUGGAAAGGAGCAACCUAAAAAUCUGGGGGCUUCAAAUAGCUGCAAUAAUUAACUUUUUUCUGUGCAUGGUCUUCUUCCAACCUUAGGGCAAGGCAAUAUGAUUGAGGGGAGUUUACUGAGGCAAAAGCCAACAGCACAAGAUAUAAACCAAAUAAUUAUAACUUGCAUCGAGCUAAUCCUGACAUGGAGGUAUUCAAGGAAAACAAUAAUGACAUAACUAGUACAUAAGUAUGAAGAUAUGAAGGAGCCAGAGGUUCAAGUAACAAAAAUAAAUGUCUCAAGAAAGCAAAAUGAAACAAUUUAGAACAUUGCAUCCAAUCAUAUGGAAUAAAUAAAUAACUGAAAGAAAACAAUCAGGCAGAAUCAAACUGUCAAUGAAUCCACAAGCCACUGGAAUCCUCAUAUCCACUAACCAGCCAGCUGUGAUUAGCCACUAUCAUGUUCUAAAUAUAUGAUGACGUGCCAAAACUUCUGGUAUUCUCGAGGCAGGAAGGCUUUGGCAACCAAAGAGUUCUUGAAGUUUUGCAUCACAUAGUAUCACCAUUGGAUUACGGGGAUCCUCCAAAUUGUUGACAUUUAUGUAUUCCCACAAUCGUGUGAAGACCUCUGAUUGGAGCAUUUCUUUCACGCCAACACCAAAAAAAUUUGCAAGUCCUUCAGAAAUUGCUACAGAAGGAGCAGAUAUAGUUUGUUUCUCUGCAGUCUCCUCAUCCAUCUUUUGCUUCUUAGAACCCAGCUGUUUGGUGGGUUCGAGAGGAAUGAUAUGUUUAGCCAGCAGCUUGUUCAUCUUGAACAUAUCCGUACAGUCGGUCUCAAACACCAAGCGCAGCUCAUCAUUGCAAAUUAUUUUCCUUUUGUUACUUGGGUCUUGAAGAUUGUUUUUCCUAAUGUAAGCCCACAGCUGUUUCACGAUCUCGGUCCUUGGAAGAGCUGGCUGCCCAACAAUAGUCUCAAGUUGAGGUGAAACACCACAAAGUUUGUUAAGACCGCCUGGCCCACCUCUUCUUUUAGCUUUAUUAGGACCACUCUGUUUUGAAACCUCGGUGCUCGAAACCGAAAGCGUUUCGGGUUUGACGGAAGCAAGCGCUUGCGUAGAGGAAGAGUUAAAGGCAGAGGAGACAGUGGGGGCGGGAACGGGAUAGAAAUUAGGAUUUUGUUGAAGGGCAGCAUGGUCAUUUCGGUGAGGAGGAGGAGGAGGGGGAGGAUGCUGCGACUGUAGAGGCGGCAGCGGCGGCUGGAAAAGGAAUUGUUGGAUCUGGGCUCGAAUGAAAUCGGCCUUGUGAGAGAGGUCGAGGCCGAGCUUGGACUGGAGGUGCUGAACGACGGCGUUUAGAGAAGUGAGUUGAGUGGAGGCGGAAUUAGGGUUUGACGAUGAUCGGGAGCAAUCUUGGAGAAGUGAUUCCAAGGCUUGUGAUAUUUGUUGCUCUGUCAUUUUUUAACCGCCCGAUCUCUCUCUAUCUCUCUCUAAAGUUUUUUUGCCCUUCUCUCUCUGUCUGAUUCCGUCUUUCUCUCUCUUCUCUCUUUCUCU